AAUGAGUUUGCCCUAGCACAACGUUAGCUUCUGGUAUUGUACAGUAUAGUCGUUUUGGGGACAUAGUAUUUGUUACAUGAAAGCUCGUCAUGCCAACUUUGCCGCACUGUAUUCGUAUAUCAAUCAUCGGAACAACGUGUAAACAACAACAAGAACUAAUAACUAGCGUCCGUUAUCGGACUUCUCCCCCUGUCUAUCUACCCCUAUCAAUUGGGGUGUGUUGGUUAGUGAAGGGGGGCUCAACGUGUUGUGGCGUGCAUCCUCUCGGUGCUCCACUAGCGGGUUUCUGGGAUUACCUAUCGAUAUGUGUAGUUUUGGUAUUGGAAUUGGAAUUGUUCAAUCACGCCUGUUGGCGUAGUUUUAUGUCCUUUGUGGGUCGACUCUGGCUAUGUUGGUCAUGUCUCUUGGUUAACCCUUUUUGAGUGUGGUCAAUGUGACCCAUGGGGCCCAUGUCUCUUGGAAUGUGCGCGCUGUGUUGUCGUCCGUUAUGGCCAUGCGUUCAAAAAGGUAAAAUUGUUGUAUUUUAUCUCUUAGUUGGGCUUUUGUUGGGCACAGUGUGGAUUUCCAGUUUAAAGCCAAUAAGUUACGGGCGGCUAGAGUGGUGAGUGCGCAUAUUUGUUUUUGUGAUUUGCCAAAUAGUGGCGGAAACCGCAGGAGUAGGUACACCUCUGGGGUUUUUGGGGUGUUGGGCACGUGAAGG